UUGGGGGGCCUUCGGGAGGCAGCAGUGGGGAAUAUUGGACAAUGGGCGCAAGCCUGAUCCAGCCAUACCGCGUGGGUGAAGAAGGCCUUCGGGUUGUAAAGCCCUUUUGUUGGGAAAGAAAAGCAGUCGAUUAAUACUCGGUUGUUCUGACGGUACCCAAAGAAUAAGCACCGGCUAACUUCGUGCCAGCAGCCGCGGUAAUACGAAGGGUGCAAGCGUUACUCGGAAUUACUGGGCGUAAAGCGUGCGUAGGUGGUUGUUUAAGUCUGUUGUGAAAGCCCUGGGCUCAACCUGGGAAUUGCAGUGGAUACUGGGCGACUAGAGUGUGGUAGAGGGUAGUGGAAUUCCCGGUGUAGCAGUGAAAUGCGUAGAGAUCGGGAGGAACAUCCAUGGCGAAGGCAGCUACCUGGACCAACACUGACACUGAGGCACGAAAGCGUGGGGAGCAAACAGGAUUAGAUACCCUGGUAGUCCACGCCCUAAACGAUGCGAACUGGAUGUUGGGUGCAAUUUGGCACGCAGUAUCGAAGCUAACGCGUUAAGUCGCCGCCUGG
rnacentral:rRNA from 1 species